CUUUCAACAACGGAUCUCUUGGUUCUGGCAUCGAUGAAGAACGCAGCGAAAUGCGAUAAGUAAUGUGAAUUGCAGAAUUCCGUGAAUCAUCGAAUCUUUGAACGCACAUUGCGCCCCUCGGUACCCCGGGGGGCAUGCCUGUCCGAGCGUCA
rnacentral:rRNA from 1 species